rnacentral:rRNA from 1 species
AUUGAACGCUGGCGGCAUGCUUUACACAUGCAAGUCGAACGGCAGCGCGGGGCAACCUGGCGGCGAGUGGCGAACGGGUGAGUAAUAUAUCGGAACGUACCCAAGAGUGGGGGAUAACGUAGCGAAAGUUACGCUAAUACCGCAUACGAUCUAAGGAUGAAAGUGGGGGACCGCAAGGCCUCAUGCUCCUGGAGCGGCCGAUAUCUGAUUAGCUAGUUGGUGAGGUAAAGGCUCACCAAGGCGACGAUCAGUAGCUGGUCUGAGAGGACGACCAGCCACACUGGAACUGAGACACGGUCCAGACUCCUACGGGAGGCAGCAGUGGGGAAUUUUGGACAAUGGGGGCAACCCUGAUCCAGCAAUGCCGCGUGAGUGAAGAAGGCCUUCGGGUUGUAAAGCUCUUUUGUCAGGGAAGAAACGGCUGCGGCUAAUAUCCGCGGCUAAUGACGGUACCUGAAGAAUAAGCACCGGCUAACUACGUGCCAGCAGCCGCGGUAACAC